rnacentral:rRNA from 1 species
AGUGAACGCUGGCGGUAGGCCUAACACAUGCGAGUCGAACGGCAGCACAGUAAGAGCUUGCUCUUACGGGUGGCGAGUGGCGGACGGGUGAGGAAUACAUCGGAAUCUACUUUUUCAUGGGGGAUAACGUAGGGAAACUUACGCUAAUACCGCAUACGACCUACGGGUGAAAGCAGGGGAUCUUCGGACCUUGCGCGAUUGAAUGAGCCGAUGUCGGAUUAGCUAGUUGGCGGGGUAAAGGCCCACCAAGGCGACGAUCCGUAGCUGGUCUGAGAGGAUGAUCAGCCACACUGGAACUGAGACACGGUCCAGACUCCUACGGGAGGCAGCAGUGGGGAAUAUUGGACAAUGGGCGAAAGCCUGAUCCAGCCAUACCGCGUGGGUGAAGAAGGCCUUCGGGUUGUAAAGCCCUUUUGUUGGGAAAGAAAAGCAGCAGGUUAAUACCCCGCUGUUCUGACGGUACCCAAAGAAUAAGCACCGGCUAACUUCGUG